GACGAACGCUGGCGGCGUGCUUAACACAUGCAAGUCGAACGGAAAGGCCCUGCUUUUGUGGGGUGCUCGAGUGGCGAACGGGUGAGUAACACGUGAGUAACCUGCCCUUGACUUUGGGAUAACUUCAGGAAACUGGGGCUAAUACCGGAUAGGAGCUCCUGCUGCAUGGUGGGGGUUGGAAAGUUUCGGCGGUUGGGGAUGGACUCGCGGCUUAUCAGCUUGUUGGUGGGGUAGUGGCUUACCAAGGCUUUGACGGGUAGCCGGCCUGAGAGGGUGACCGGCGACAUUGGGACUGAGAUACGGACCAGACUCCUACGGGAGGCAGCAGUGGGGAAUAUUACACAAUGGGCGGAAGCCUGAUGCAGCAACGCCGCGUGCGGGAUGACGGCCUUCGGGUUGUAAACCGCUUUCGCCUGUGACGAAGCGUGAGUGACGGUAAUGGGUAAAGAAGCACCGGCUAACUACGUG
rnacentral:rRNA from 1 species